rnacentral:rRNA from 1 species
AUGACUAGGGAUAACCUUAGGAAGAGACACAUCAUCAAACCCCUUGAUUGUGUUUACUGCUUGGAACAAGAGUCUUGUUCUCACCUAUUUUUUGAAUGUAUAGUUGCUAAACAUCUCUGGGCCCACAUUGAGGAAUAUUUCUCUAGUCAGAUUGGCUCAUCCUUCGAAUCUGUCGCUAGAUUCUGGAUUGCUACCAAAAAGUGCUCAGUUUUAAACUUUAUUAGCUCAGCUGUCCUUUGGUGCCUCUGGAAAUAUAGAAAUGCUAUGAUUUUCAGUAACACCUCCUGGAUUUCCAUUCCACAGGUGUUGAGGUUAGCAGGAACAUGGUGA